AGGACAACAAAAAAACAGUGGCAACGCUUUCGACCGGGUGUGGCACGAGGGACUACUCGCCAAGAUCAAAAUUACGCUCAAAUCCAAAUCCCUCUACGGUCCGAAGGUAAACAGGGCAGACCCUCAAGGUCGCAACAUUUGCUGACGACACAGCGGUACUCUCGAUGGUUAUCUGUGUCAAUACAGCAAUACCUCAAGCUGUUUGAAAACUGGGUCUUCCUGUUUGGGAAACUCGUGGAGCAGCGUAGGAAUCACACAUACCUCGGAGUUACACUGGAUGCACGUUUAACUUUCGACAGUCACAUCCGCAGCGUGAGGAGCAAGUUGGUGGUAAGGUCCAGAAAAUGUUCUGGCUACUUAAACAAAGCAAUAAGCUCAGUUUAUAAAACAAAGUCAUGAUCUACAAAGCCAUACUACCCCCUGACUGCAAGUACGACAUUGAGGUGUAUGGGAUUGCCGCCCAGACUAACCUUGCGAGGAUCAUGACAUUCCAGAGUAAAUUUCUGCGUAGGAUCUCCGAAGCUGAGUAGUACAUCCGUAAGCGAGACAUCGCCAAGGACCUUAACGUAGUUGGUGAUGUUAUCAACAAUCAAGCGAAAAGCCAUAUUUGUAAGCUCAGAAGCCACCCUAAUGUACUGGCUAAGUGUCUUGCGAGAUCCAGAUACCGGCGUAGGCAGAAUACACCAGGCGACCUACCCAACAGGAUGAUCUAAGAGGACCCCAACCCUAGAAUACCUCGACAGAUAAUUGAGACAAAUAAUAUCCUCAUCCAAAUUCUUCGACCUUGAUGUUGUAAUUUUUCUGUGACUGUUGUAUAAGUUAGUUACUCUAACAGUAACCACAAACAACAUAAUUUGUAGCAGUGAUAUUAUUUUAUA
rnacentral:misc_RNA from 1 species